AUUGAACGCUGGCGGAAUGCUUUACACAUGCAAGUCGAACGGCAGCACGGGGCAACCUGGUGGCGAGUGGCGAACGGGUGAGUAAUAUAUCGGAACGUGCCCAAAUCGUGGGGGAUAACGUAGCGAAAGUUACGCUAAUACCGCAUACGAUCUACGGAUGAAAGCGGGGGAUCGCAAGACCUCGCGCGAAUGGAGCGGCCGAUAUCAGAUUAGGUAGUUGGUGGGGUAAAGGCUCACCAAGCCAACGAUCUGUAGCUGGUCUGAGAGGACGACCAGCCACACUGGAACUGAGACACGGUCCAGACUCCUACGGGAGGCAGCAGUGGGGAAUUUUGGACAAUGGGCGCAAGCCUGAUCCAGCCAUUCCGCGUGCAGGAUGAAGGCCUUCGGGUUGUAAACUGCUUUUGUACGGAACGAAACGGUCUGCCCUAAUACGGCGGGCUAAUGACGGUACCGUAAGAAUAAGCACCGGCUAACUACGUG
rnacentral:rRNA from 1 species